UACGUAGGGCGCAAGCGUUGUCCGGAAUUAUUGGGCGUUAAGAGCUCGUAGGCGGUGUGUCACGUCGUUCGUGAAAACCUGCAGCUUAACUGUGGGCGUGCGGUCGAUACGGGCAUCACUGGAGUUCGGCAGGGGAGACUGGAAUUCCUGGUGUAGCGGUGAAAUGCGCAGAUAUCAGGAGGAACACCGGUGGCGAAGGCGGGUCUCUGGGCCGAUACUGACGCUGAGGAGCGAAAGCGUGGGUAGCAAACAGG
rnacentral:rRNA from 1 species